UACAGAGGCCCCAAGCGUUACUGAGAAUCACUGGGUUUAAAGGGUGCGUAGGUGGCGCGUUAAGUUCGUUGUGAAAGCCCUGGGCUCAACCCAGGAACUGCUUCGAAUACUGGUGCGCUUGAGGCUAGUAGGGGUUACUGGAACUGACGGUGGAGCGGUGAAAUGCGUAGAUAUCGUCAGGAACGCCAAUGGUGAAGACAGGUAACGUGGGCUAGUUCUGACACUGAGGCACGAAAGCGUGGGGAGCGAACGGG
rnacentral:rRNA from 1 species